rnacentral:rRNA from 1 species
AUGCUAUUUUCUAUCAGUCCCAAGCGGAUACUCCCCAGCUUCCACGGUCCGCUUACUGAGGAAGAGAUGCGAGAGGACCCAGGGCCAGAGCAAGUUGGGUUGGGGUAUAGAGCCGUAAGCGCGGUGGGGGUGACAGAGGAUGUGCUCGUACGGUUCAUAGUUGGGUAUGAUAUUCUCGUGCAUUGUUGGGAAUGUCCUCUAUAUUCGAAAUAUGCCUUUCCAGGAGCAUUACGAUCUACAGCUCAAAUGGUUCCUUAUGAAGUCUCUAUUGGUCUUAUUCUUAUUGUGUGCCUUGUGAGCACGUUUGGAUCCGCGAAGGCAAUCAUGUGGAUCUUCCCCUAA